rnacentral:misc_RNA from 1 species
GAUGAAGAACGCAGCGAAACGCGAUAGUUAAUGUGAAUUGCAAAUUCAGUGAAUCAUCGAGUCUUUGAACGCACAUUGCGCCCCCUGGUAUUCCGGGGGGCAUGCCUGUCCGAGCGUCAUUGCUGCCCUCAAGCACGGCUUGUGUGUUGGGCCCCGUCCUCCGAUCCCGGGGGACGGGCCCGAAAGGCAGCGGCGGCACCGCGUCCGGUCCUCGAGCGUAUGGGGCUUUGUCACCCGCUCUGUAGGCCCGGCCGGCGCUUGCCGAUCAACCCAAAUUUUUAUCCAGGUUGACCUCGGAUCAGGUAGGGAUACCCGCUGAACUUAAGCAUAUCAAUAAGCGGAGGA